GACGAACGCUGGCGGCGUGCCUAAUACAUGCAAGUCGAACGCUGCAGAGAGGAGCUUGCGCUUCCUGGAUGAGAUGCGAACGGGUGAGUCACGCGUAGUUAACCUGCCUUGUCGCGGGGGAUAACAAUUCGAAACGAUAUCUAAUACCGCAUAACAAUUGAUGACACAUGUCAUCUACUUGAAAGGGGCAAUUGCUCCACUACAAGACCGACCUGCGUUGUAUUAGCUAGUUGGUGAGUUAAUGUCUCACCUAGGCGACGAUACGUAGCCGACCGGAGAGGGGGAGCGCCAACACUGGUACUGAGACACGGCCCAGACUACUGCGAGAGGCAGCAGUAGGGAACUUUCGGGAAUGGGAGCAACGCUGACUGAGCGACGCCGGGUGAGAGAAGAAGGUUGUCGGAUCGUGAAGGUCUGUUGUAAGUCAAGGACGGGUGUGAGAGUGGAAAGUUCAGACAGUGACGGUAGCUGAAGAGAAAGGGACGGCUAACUACGUG
rnacentral:rRNA from 1 species